rnacentral:rRNA from 1 species
GACGAACGCUGGCGGCGUGCCUAAUACAUGCAAGUAGAACGCUGAAGAGAGGAGCUUGCUCUUCUUGGAUGAGUUGCGAACGGGUGAGUAACGCGUAGGUAACCUGCCUUGUAGCGGGGGAUAACUAUUGGAAACGAUAUCUAAUACCGCAUAAAAAUGGAUGACACAUGUCAUUUAUUUGAAAGGGGCAAUUGCUCCACUACAAGAUGGACCUGCGUUGUAUUAGCUAGUAGGUGAGGUAACGGCUCACUUAGGCGACGAUACAUAGCCGACCUGCGAGGGGGAUCGGCCAAACUGGGACUGAGACACGGCCCAGACUCCUACGGGAGGCAGCAGUAGGGAAUCUUCGGCAAUGGGGGCAACCCUGACCGAGCAACGCCGCGUGAGUGAAGAAGGUUUUCGGAUCGUAAAGCUCUGUUGUAAGUCAAGAACGAGUGUGAGAGUGGAAAGUUCACACUGUGACGGUAGCUUACCAGAAAGGGACGGCUAACUACGUG